rnacentral:rRNA from 1 species
UAGGGAAUCUUCGGCAAUGGGGGCAACCCUGACCGAGCAACGCCGCGUGAGUGAAGAAGGUUUUCGGAUCGUAAAGCUCUGUUGUAAGUCAAGAACGGGUGUGAGAGUGGAAAGUUCACACUGUGACGGUAGCUUACCAGAAAGGGACGGCUAACUACGUGCCAGCAGCCGCGGUAAUACGUAGGUCCCGAGCGUUGUCCGGAUUUAUUGGGCGUAAAGCGAGCGCAGGCGGUUUGAUAAGUCUGAAGUUAAAGGCUGUGGCUCAACCAUAGUUCGCUUUGGAAACUGUCAAACUUGAGUGCAGAAGGGGAGAGUGGAAUUCCAUGUGUAGCGGUGAAAUGCGUAGAUAUAUGGAGGAACACCGGUGGCGAAAGCGGCUCUCUGGUCUGUAACUGACGCUGAGGCUCGAAAGCGUGGGGAGCGAACAGGAUUAGAUACCCUGGUAGUCCACGCCGUAAACGAUGAGUGCUAGGUGUUGGAUCCUUUCCGGGAUUCAGUGCCGCAGCUAACGCAUUAAGCACUCCGCCUGGGGAGUACGACCGCAAGG